AUACGUAGGGGGCAAGCGUUAUCCGGAUUUACUGGGUGUAAAGGGAGCGUAGGCGGCAAGGCAAGUCUGAUGUGAAACCCGGGGCUCAACCCCGGGACUGCAUUGGAAACUGCUUAGCUAGAGUGUCGGAGAGGUAAGUGGAAUUCCUAGUGUAGCGGUGAAAUGCGUAGAUAUUAGGAGGAACACCAGUGGCGAAGGCGACUUACUGGACGAUAACUGACGCUCAGGCACGAAGGCGUGGGUAUC
rnacentral:rRNA from 1 species